GCCAUUUUCGAGUGAUGCCUGAUCUCAUCAAUCUAGCGGGAGGGAAGGGAUAACCUGUCCGAGCCUAGCGCGACGCUAGGAUCACGCCGGAAAAUCCCCCAAAAAUCAUCAAAAAAAUUAACUUAGAGCAGAGGGCAGUCGGUGGGGCUUCGCCAGAUGCGGCGCAGUCGAUUUUAACCAUUAGAAGAAUACCAGUUCUGGAAAACAACCAAAGUUUCUUUGAUUGAAUGCCCAUGUAAUGCAUUGGAAUAUGAUAGGCGAUUAAGGUAUACUAAUGGGGUGUGGGUGUGUGUGUGUGUGUGUUUGUUUUUCUUUCUUAAUUCUACACCUACCCAAGAACUUGCUAUGGAUUCUAAGCUGGCCUAGAACUACUAAUUUUUCUGCCUCAACCUCUUCCUUAGUGCUGGAAUUGUAAAUAUGUGCCAGUAUGUAUGCUUUAUACUAACAAAUUUUCAGAACCUAUUAUUAUAUAUCUUUGUAAUAUAAUUGGACUUAAUAGUAAUUCUGAAACCUUUGAAUGAAUUAAAAUCAAUAAGCAAAGAAUAAACAAAUCUUGUGAAUUGGCUGAAUCUAAGUGUCUGGCUUGUUAAAAUUCUAGAUUUUUAAAAACAUAGUUAUGUUGUAGAUCUAUCUGAAUUUACCUUCCCCCACCCACUCCCUAAUAAAGAACAAAGUCUAUAUGGUGAUUUUUCUUUUUCCUGAGGGUGUUACUACAGUGUGCUAUGUAAGGUAUUUAAUUAUGUAGUGGACUUUAUUGUUACAAAAUGACGUGUUUUAAAGUCAAGUGGAAUUUAGUAGUUGGCUGUUUGACAAGUGGAGAAGUAGGUAGAGUCUAAAAAUCAGAUAAGACUAAUGAAAAUAUUUUAAGAAAAUUUGAAGUAUUCCAAGUACCUUCCUAACCAAGUCACAACUUGGUUAAAUUGAAAAAGCCCUACUUUCUUAAGCAGAAAUAAGUAUUUUACUCAUACAUACUCAGUGCAUUGUUAAUAUCAAUGUUACAGCAUUCUAAAGAUAGUUAUAGAACACUUAAACUUGCGAUAACUACUACCUUAUUCUCGAAUACUUUUUUCCAUUUUUCUAACAUUUUUUUACUUGAUUUUUAUAUUUACUUGAGCAUUUCAGAUAGUGUUCAGCUUAAACAAUUGUUAUUUCCUAGAUGGUAAUCUGGUAUAAAAAUGAAUAUAUUGAUAUUAUUACUAAAUAUUACUUGGUUAGUUUUUUUUCUAAUAAAGUAUUAGCCAUAAGUUUUAAUGAUAUUUGCUAAAUAAAAUGACAGUUGCUAAACUACAACUACUUUUCUUUAGAAUUGUUGACUAUGUACUGACUAUGAAUAUAAGUAACAAAUAACAAAUCCCAAAGCUUUGGUUUUCUUAAGUGCAAUUUAAUCUUAAAACUAAAA
rnacentral:lncRNA from 1 species